rnacentral:pre_miRNA from 11 species
UUUUAUGUUGAAAGACCCCCAGAGUGGGGAGACCCUCACUCAAGUCUCGGGAUAAGCUGAUGCCCCAAUAAUUCAAGAGAGACC